GAUAAGCGCUGGCGGCGUGCCUAAUACAUGCAAGUCGAGCGGUAAGGCUUUCACAGAUUAUUUAAACGGAAAAGUCCUUUAUGGAUACUAUCCUUCAACAUCAGUUUCCCGGCUAGGAAGCAACGGUGGUUGGAUAAUGCGUGAAAGUACACGAGCGGCGGACGGCUGAGUAACGCGUAAGAACGUACCCCAAAGUGAGGGAUAAGCACCAGAAAUGGUGUCUAAUACCGCAUGUGCUCUACGGAGUAAAGGAUUUAUCCGCUUUGGGAGCGGCUUGCGUAAGAUUAGAUAGUUGGUGAGGUAACGGCUCACCAAGUCGACGAUCUGUAGCUGGUCUGAGAGGAUGAUCAGCCAGACUGGGACUGAGACACGGCCCAG
rnacentral:rRNA from 1 species